CGAAACACUGGAACUCUGCGCGUGAGACAGCACAAGCCGUUUCGGGCACCACCGUCUACCUAUUGUGAACUAAAGUUAUGGCGGCUUCAUGCAUGCGCCGAACGUUUGGUGAGGUGGGUCUAUUGGUGGCAGGACGACAACAAUUUCUUUCUUUUUGUCUUUAUUGGUCCCUCUCAAAACAAAUGCAUUUCUGUGACCAUUGACUACUCUGCCAUACAAAUGUCUGCUGCAUGCACCAUAUUGUGGGGUUUCAUUUUGUGCCUACAAAAUUUACAGGUUCACUGCAAGACUCGAUACAAAAAUCGAAAAUCGGAGGCUCCAUCCUAAUAAGAACUCUUGGUCAGUGCUCUGUGCUUAAACAAAGUAGGUCAAUGCCAAAGGGUGCAAUAUUGCUUUUGCAUGAAAUUACACACAGAACAUAUAAGAGCUUUAUGCCCAUUCUCGAUUAAUGCUGCAGGGAGCAGCUCCCUCCACAAUUAUGAGCAUUCCUUAUAAAAGUACAAAUGACAGCCGUGUCUAGAAGUGAACGACAGGACUGACGCUGGCUGUUGUCUUUGUUCGAUACUCAGGAGCGGUUCCCUCAUUCCUGGCAGCAGGCUCCUCCGUCCAGCCAUGUACAUCGCAGGGGACGACUGCCUCAAAGGGUGCGGUUCCCUCAUCCCUGGCAGCAGGCUCCUCCAUCCAGCCGUGUACACCGCAGGGGACGACUGCCUCGAAGGGAGCGGUUCCCUCAUUUCUGGCAGCAGGCUCCUUCUUCCAGCCAGGUACACCGCA